UACGUAGGCAGCAAGCGUUGUUCGGAGUUACUGGGCGUAAAGGGUGCGUAGGCGGCCUUAUAAGUAUGGUGUGAAAUCUCCCGGCUUAACUGGGAGGUGCGCUAUAGACUGUGGGGCUAGAGUGUGGGAGAGGAAAGUGGAAUUCCUGGUGUAGCGGUGAAAUGCGUAGAUAUCAGGAGGAACACCGGUGGUGUAAACGGCUUUCUGGACCAUAACUGACGCUGAGGCACGAAAGCGUGGGGAGCGAACCGG
rnacentral:rRNA from 1 species